GGAGACAUAGCUCAGCUGGUUAGAGCGUUCGCCUCACACGCGAGAGGUCGUGGGUUCGAGCCCCUCUGUCUCCACCA
rnacentral:tRNA from 1 species